CUUUCUAGACUUAGGAAAGCAAAGGAGAAAACAGUAACACAGAGCAAUGUGGCCAUAUCAUCCUUAUGGCAUGUUCACUUUCGUUCUAAAAGGAAAAAGAGAAUAACAACCAAUAGUGAUGCCAGAGUCACUUCCAUUACCCAAGGAUAUGAGCGGCUUCAAAGCUGGAAAAUAAUAAGACUGAGGCCACUCAUUUGUACAUCUCCUUUCUUCUAUUCCCUUUCUCAUGUGACUCCUCAGAUAUUUUCCUUCCUUACCUCAUCACUUUGUCUUAGGUACCAACACUCAGAGGCUUUCUCAAACUGGAAAGCCAUGGACCAUUCUGGCCUGGAACUCAGUUGUUUAAAGAAAACAAACACAAUGAAAAGACCACUGACAUGUCAGCGUGCAUGGGCCACACUGCUAAAUGAAGAACUACAGCAUAACUUGCAAUGGCCCCGAGGAGCUGACUGCAUUUUACAAAGGAGAGGUUCUUUUUUUCUUUGAAUCAACAGAGCAUCUCUAUGGCAGUGGAGUAGAAAACAAGCAGAGAAGUAUUUCCCCUACAUGCUGGAGGUGGUUAUCAUGGUUGUCAAGGAAACAUCCACACUCCACAAGGUCACCUCUGGAAACAACUGCACGAUGUGAAGAAGAGAUCAAUACAUGAAAGCUAAGACUUCAGCUCCCUAACACCACCUACUAUCUUAAAAUAUCACUCCUAACAAACACUUGUUUACCUAAUUCUAUGUGGCUUGGAGUAGUCAAGUGAGACUGAUGAUGUCCUAUAUCGAGUCUAGUGUAUUUCAAG
rnacentral:lncRNA from 1 species